AGAGUUUGAUCCUGGCUCAGGACGAACGCUGGCGGCGUGCUUAACACAUGCAAGUCGAACGAGGUCCACCGCGUAGCAAUACAAGGGAAGACCUAGUGGCGAACGGGUGCGUAACACGUGAGGAACUUGUCCCGGUCUCUGGGAUAACAGUUGGAAACGACUGCUAAUACCGGAUGACAUCGGAGCAUCGCAUGGUGCACUGAUGAAAGGGUUACUGGAUCGGGAGAGCCUCGCGGCCUAUCAGCUUGUUGGUGAGGUAACGGCUCACCAAGGCAUCGACGGGUAGCUGGUCUGAGAGGAUGAUCAGCCACACUGGGACUGAGACACGGCCCAGACUCCUACGGGAGGCAGCAGUGGGGAAUCUUGCGCAAUGGGCGAAAGCCUGACGCAGCAACGCCGCGUGCGGGAAGAAGGCCCUCGGGUUGUAAACCGCUUUCAGUAGGAACGAAAAUGACGGUACCUGCAGAAGAAGGUGCGGCCAACUACGUGCCAGCAGCCGCGGUGACACGUAGGCACCAAGCGUUGUCCGGAUUUAUUGGGCGUAAAGAGCUCGUAGGCGGUUCGGUAAGUCGGGUGUGAAAACUUUGGGCUCAACCCAAAGCCUGCAUCCGAUACUGCUGUGACUAGAGUUCGGUAGGGGAGCGGGGAAUUCCUAGUGUAGCGGUGAAAUGCGCAGAUAUUAGGAGGAACACCGGUGGCGAA
rnacentral:rRNA from 1 species